AUUGAACGCUGGCGGCAGGCUUAACACAUGCAAGUCGAGCGAGCGGCGGACGGGUGAGUAAUGUCUGGGAAACUGCCUGAUGGAGGGGGAUAACUACUGGAAACGGUAGCUAAUACCGCAUACCAUCAGAUGUGCCCAGAUGGGAUUAGCUAGUAGGUGGGGUAAUGGCGCACCUAGGCGACGAUCCCUAGCUGGUCUGAGAGGAUGACCAGCCACACUGGAACUGAGGCACGGUCCAGACGCCUACGGGAGGAAGCAGUGGGGAAUAUUGCACAAUGGGCGAAAGCCUGAUGCAGCCAUGCCGCGUGUGUGAAGAAGGCCUUCGGAUUUUAAAGCACUUUAAGCGGGGAGGCGUUACUCGCAGAAGAAGCACCGGCUAACUCCGUGCCAGCCGCCGCGGUAAUAC
rnacentral:rRNA from 1 species